AUUGAACGCUGGCGGCAGGCCUAACACAUGAAAGUCGAGCGAGCGGCGGACGGGUGAGUAAUGUAUGGGGACUGCCCGAUAGAGGGGGAUAACUACUGGAAACGGUGGCUAAUACCGCAUACUGUCGGAUAACCCAUAUGGGAUUAGCUAGUAGGUGGGGUAAAGGCUCACCGAGGCGACGAUCUCUAGCUGGUCUGAGAGGAGGAUAAGCCAGACUGCGACUUGGACACGGCCCAGACUGCUACGGAGGCGGCAGUGGUGAAUAUUGCACAAUGGGCGCUAGCCUGAUGCAGCCAUGCCGCGGGUAUGAAGAAGGCGUUAGGGUUGUAAAGUACUUUCAGCGGGGCGGCGUUCCCCGCAGACGAAGCACCGGCUAACUCCGUGCCAGCAGCCGCGGUAAUUC
rnacentral:rRNA from 1 species